rnacentral:rRNA from 1 species
CCUACGGGAGGCAGCAGUGGGGAAUAUUGCGCAAUGGGCGAAAGCCUGACGCAGCGACGCAGCGUGAGGGAUGAAGGCCUUCGGGUUGUAAACCUCUUUCAGCGGGGACGAAGCGAAAGUGACGGUACCCGCAGAAGAAGCACCGGCUAACUACGUGCCAGCAGCCGCGGUAAUACGUAGGGUGCAAGCAUUGUCCGGAUUUAUUGGGCGUAAAGAGCUCGUAGGCGGCUUGUCACGUCGGGUGUGAAAACUUGGGGCUCAACCCCAAGCCUGCACUCGAUACGGGCUAGCUAGAGUGUUGCAGGGGAGACUGGAAUUCCUGGUGUAGCGGUGAAAUGCGCAGAUAUCAGGAGGAACACCGGUGGCGAAGGCGGGUCUCUGGGCAACUACUGACGCUGAGGAGCGAAAGCGUGGGGAGCGAACAGGAUUAGAUACCCUGGUAGUCCACGCCGUAAACGGUGGGCGCUAGGUGUGGGGAACCUUCCACGUUCUCUGUGCCGCNGCUACGACAUAGCGCCCGCCGUCGGGAGGUACGGCCGCGACGGACGUAAACCUACAAAGGAAGUUAGACGGCGUGAGACGUGCCGACGGACGACGACGAGGGAGGUAGG